UACGUAGGGGGCAAGCGUUGUUCGGAUUUACUGGGCGUAAAGGGCGCGUAGGCGGCCUCCGCAAGUCACUUGUGAAAUCUCCGGGCUUAACUCGGAAAGGUCAACUGAUACUGCGGGGCUAGAGUGCGGAAGGGGCAACUGGAAUUCUUGGUGUAGCGGUGAAAUGCGUAGAUAUCAAGAGGAACACCUGCGGCGAAGGCGGGUUGCUGGGCCGACACUGACGCUGAGGCGCGAAAGCUAGGGGAGCGAACGGG
rnacentral:rRNA from 1 species